GACAGAGGAUGCAAGCGUUAUCCGGAAUGAUUGGGCGUAAAGCGUCUGUAGGUGGCUCAUUAAGUCUACUGUCAAAUCCCAAGGCUCAACCUUGGUCAGGCGGUAGAUACUACUAAGCUGGAGUACGUUAGGGGCAGAGGGAAUUUCCGGUGGAGCGGUGAAAUGCGUAGAGAUCGGAAAGAACACCAAAGGCGAAAGCACUCUGCUGGGUCGAUACUGACACUGAGAGACGAGAGCUAGGGGAGCGAAUGGG
rnacentral:rRNA from 1 species